rnacentral:rRNA from 1 species
CCUACGGGAGGCAGCAGUGAGGAAUAUUGGUCAAUGGCCGUAAGGCUGAACCAGCCAAGUCGCGUGAAGGAAGCAGGAUCUAUGGUUUGUAAACUUCUUUUAUAGGGGAAAAAAGGUAUCCACGUGUGGAUAUUUGCAUGUACCCUAUGAAUAAGCAUCGGCUAACUCCGUGCCAGCAGCCGCGGUAAUACGGUGGAUGCGAGCGUUAUCCGGAUUUAUUGGGUUUAAAGGGUGCGUCGGGUGUUUUUUAAGUCAGAGGUGAAAGUUUGUGGCUUAACCAUAAAAUUGCCGGUGAAACUGGAAGUCUUGAGUUUGUUUGAGGGAGGGGGAAUGCGUGGUGUAGCGGUGAAAUGUAUAGAUAGCACGCAGAACUCCGAUUGCGAAGGCAGCUUACUAAGCCAUAACUGACACUGAAGCACGAAAGCGUGGGGAUCAAACAGGAUUAGAUACCCGAGUAGUC